rnacentral:rRNA from 1 species
UACGGAGGAUGCAAGCGUUAUCCGGAAUGAUUGGGCGUAAAGCGUCCGCAGGUGGCUAUGUAAGUCUGCUGUUAAAGAGUCUAGCUCAACUAGAUAAGAGCAGUGGAAACUACAAGGCUAGAGUACGUUCGGGGCAGAGGGAAUUCCUGGUGUAGCGGUGAAAUGCGUAGAGAUCCGGAGGAACACCGAAGGCGAAGGCAGUGUCCUGGCUGGUGACUGACGCUGAGGUGCGAAAGCUAGGGGAGCGAACGGG